rnacentral:rRNA from 1 species
GUAGUCCGCACGGUAAACGCUGGAUGCCCGUUUUUGGCUUAUUUUAAGUCAGAGACCAAGCGAAAGCAUUAAGCAUCCCACCUGGGGAGUACGCCGGCAACGGUGAAACUCAAAGGAAUUGACGGGGGCCCGCACAAGCGGAGGAACAUGUGGUUUAAUUCGAUGAUACGCGAGGAACCUUACCCGGGCUUGAAUUGCCAGAGACGGCUCCAGAGAUGGAGCUUCCCUUCGGGGCUUUGGUGAAGGUGCUGCAUGGUUGUCGUCAGCUCGUGCCGUGAGGUGUCGGCUUAAGUGCCAUAACGAGCGCAACCCCUUUCUUCAGUUGCCAUCGGGUAAUGCCGGGCACUCUGUAGAUACUGCCGCCGUAAGGUGUGA